rnacentral:lncRNA from 1 species
CUGAUACUGACAAUUUGAAAAUACUUGAGUUCAAAUUCAUCCAUAACGAACAACCAUUUCCUUCUCUCAUUAAUGACCACAUUAUAAUCAAUCCUAUCUUUGAUCCUGUAGUGGUCAGAGCAAAAAUGGAGACGGCUUUGUUGGGUGGAGGAGAAGGCAGCAGUGGCGACCAAAGAAGGGAUCGUAGGAACUUGUUUAACAGAACAGAUGCCAUUGCUUAUGGAUCAACAUACCAGAAGGCCGCUGCUUUGGUUGAUCUCGUAUGUUUCUUGUUUUUUUAUGUUAAGUUUCAUAAUAUUGAAUAAAAAUGUUGUAGCAGUAUAGUUUAGCUGGUAAUUCAAUGUGGGUAUGUCUGUACAUUGAAGAAUAUGAUGUUAAAGUUGAUGAAGAUAUAAUAGAUUCUGUUAAAGCGUCUAUUUUAAACGCAAUUGGUAUUGAAAAUGGGGAUUCCGACUUUACUGAAUUCUUGGAAAGUCUAUUAAGAAAAGUGGACGUGUGUAGGGAUAUUUUGAUCUUGAUAAUUUGCUUAAGAUAUGAAAUUUCUUUGAAUUACGAUUGGGUGAUGGUUUUUGCAAGUUGUACUUUUCACAUUUGUAAUGACGUGGGCACCUUAAGUUAGUAUGUUUGUGGUGGAUUAAUUACUUGGUAUCAAGAAUUUUUAUGAAGGAAAAGAUAGUCUGUGGUGGAAGGUUUUGGGUCCGUGGCAACUGGCAUUAGAGAACGACUUACUGUAAGUGUAGAAAUAGUGGAUAUUUCGAACUUACUGAAUAUAUUUCUUUCUGAAUAUAAUUCUUUUGUCAAUUCAAUUCACCACCUGGAUUUGUAAAUAGUGAAAGUGUUAUGGAUUCAAGUUAAGUUUUACUGGCCCCAGAAAAUGGGAACGUUUCUUAUAUUGGUGACCACAAAUAAACAUGAUUACACUCUAUUCAGCAUUUUUUACUGCAUCGUAGACCAAAAUUGUUCCUGAAGCCUUGCAUGGUUGACCGAACUCAUUUCAUUUGGUAUUGAAGUCACCUAUGAGGUGCUAUCCCUCAUCUGAACUCUGGAUGUGGAUUGUCAAUAGACUGGAUGCUACAAGAAUAGUACGUAUUUUUCUGUUUUUGUUUUUUGUUUUCUUUUUGGGGGGUGGGUGGGUGGUGUGAGGGGUUGAUAAGACCUUGCCUUCAUAACACCUGGACUCAUAUCAGUUUGGUGGUAACUACUACUUGGAUGCUCAAGCAUUUCCGGAUCAGUUGGCUUGUGCCAAUGCUAAGUAGAUUUCUGGGGCGUAAUUCCAACACUGGAAUAUCAAGGAAAUUAGAGGAUACCUUCAUGCGUAUUAAAGGAUGAGAAUGUCAUCAGUACAGUACCUUGGAUAGAGACAUAUUCCUGAAAAUAUCUGGAAUGCUUAUAGCAAUCUCUGCUUGCCCCCCCUUUAUAAUGAUUUGAAAUAUCUCUUGCAUUUGCAGGCUGAAGAUGGUGUUGGUAUACCUGAGGAAAUUCUUGAUAACUCGAGCUUUGCAAGUUCUCUGAAAUCCUACUUCAUAUUUAUUCGAUUUGACUUUCUCUGGUCUCUUAACUACUUUGCAUUAAUCAUUCUAAAUUUCUUUGAGGUUUGUGUAUCUUCCUAACUCCUAGUAUAUCUAUUUUUUCUCUUUUUUUGUUUGACAUUAAAUAAUUAUUUAUGAUUUAGAGAUAUUUUUUAUUAUUAUUAUUUUUUUUAAGUUCAAUAUUUGUUGGAAUUGAUACUUAAAACUACGUUUGGUUUACAUCCGCAGAAACCUCUAUGGUGUUCUGGGUAUUGCAAUAAUAGAGGUUACUACUUUCUCGGGCAGCUGCCAUACUUGACUGGUGCUGAGAGUCUUGUAUAUGAGGUAAGGUCGAAAUAGUACACCCAACAUCAUGGAUGAAUAUUUAUCUGAAUUUUGGCUAUUGCUAUAGUUGCCUUUCUUUGACCAUAACAAAUUGGAUUGAAGAAAAAAUAAGUUGUACUAAUUUUUCCUUUUUGGGGUUGGGGGCGGACAUAAGAUCCAGAAAUUUUGAUUUAAAUAUUUAAAAAUAUAUAACAAAACAAUCAUCUGUGAGGCUAAUAUAGAUAUUAGACGUGCUUGUGUUCAAAAAUCAUUUUAGCAGAAGAAAAAAUCUACAGUGGAUAACGAUUAACAAAGAUAGUGAAACGGUCGAACCAAAACUCCACAUCCUUAGAUUUUAUGCUUUUGAUGAGAAGAUGGAAUGAAAAGAAUGAGAAGUCUGUAAAAACAUGCCAGAUUCGGAAUGUCUUUUAAACAUUGGUAUGUAUUCUAUUGUACUAACAACUCUGGCAGUCAAUUAUUGGAUGCUCGCCUGCUAUAAAAGUUGCACAGAUCUCAGUUGUUUUAGGUCAAUGAUUGACACUUUUGGUUAGUGAUGAAUAAAUAUAAACUAAUUUUUGAUAGCCAAAAAAAGCUGAAUGGGCAGUUGCCGUGUACAAACUUAUUUAUCAAGCAGGAGUAAGAAAAAGAACAAGAAGUCCUUAAAAUGAAAAAUAUACAUAGGACACAAAAUUGAAUUUAAUGGCAGUCAACAAGGCAUGCAGUUUUUCUGGUGUUGUAUUAUCCAGUGUUACAAGAACCGGACCCCUGUCAGUUCAACCUGGAAAAAUGGGGGAACCGGUCUAGAAACAGAAAAUAUAAAAACUAAAAAAAUUCGUAACAUAAUCAAUGAUCUGACCGGUUCUGGUUCUCCUGAACACAAACCGGUUUUACCGGCUUUUUCAAGUUAUACUUUCAAACAAACAAAAAAAAAAUCAUAUAUUUACUUUUAUUUUUUUUUAACCAUCGGGACUCCACUUCGACCCUUUACCCUCUGUGUUUUCUUUCUGCACAUGAAUUGUGUAGCACUUUGCUAUGAAACAAGACAGUUUACUGCACUAUAGAAAUGGAUAUAUGAAUGUUAAAAUGCAAUUCCACCUGCACUUCUACUAGUAGCUGAAGUUAUGGAAUAGUUUAUUGAUCUGAAACUUCUUGCAGUUCUUUAUGUUUUAAGUCUUACUUCGUGCUACUUUUGAAAAUAUACAUACAUAACUAGAGUUCCACACUCUUGUAUUUCUUGUAGAUUGAACUUUUCUCGUACUACCUUUUGCAGGUUGUUACACUCUUGAUCCUAAUUUUACAUACUCUGUUUCCAUUAUCAUAUGAAGGGAUUGGUUUCUUCUGGAGAAAACUUCUUAACAAAGUUAAGGUAUUCACUUUUAAUUAUGAUUUCAUAAUUUGCUGCAAGAAGCUUCAUUCAAAAGGUCUUAUCUUAUUAAGGAUCAUGUACAUGAUAAAGAAAGUUAAUCGUGAAAUAUUUCUUCCUUGUUUUGCACAUAUGUCUUAUAUGUUUUUCUGAAUUCUCUCAUUCGGGGGCAGAACUAUAUAUUUUUAAGGUUUGGCUUCCCAUUCAAUUUAUAAAAUAUUUUUAACAGCAUGCACGUUUUGAUAUGUUGUUCAGUAUUUCAGCUCCUCUUAGAGAAUGUGGUGAGCAUUCAAAUAAAUCAAAUCUUAUGUAGUUUCUUGUACCAAAAUCGGAAUGAUGCUGCCUCCUAAAUUAGAAUAUUGACUUCGAUCUUUUUGCAUUGACACACUUGAAUAUACCAAUUUUCCAAUUUCUAAAUAAACUUAUUGCUUUUGCCUGAUACAUGGUUUAUCAAUUUGUACCAUGUUAAUCUCGUUUAGCAUAUUAGUUUUCUUAUAUAUUUUUUUUGCCCAUUCAAGUGUUACAGCAAAUGAUUUUGUUUGUGCUAUUAAUAUCUUGAGAACUCAAUUUCUUUUGUUUUGUUUUUUGUUUUUUUUUUUAAGAUCAUAAUUUCUAUUUUCUCACGAGUAGAGGAACAUUAUGUGACUACAUCAGAUAUAAACAACACAGAGAUUUUCAUAUCAAGCACUAAGUGAUAAAGAUCUACAGUUUAUGCAGCCAUUCCUUGCUCCCUAACAAUCAACUGGAAUUAAGUAAAACAGUUAUAGAAAGUAAAGAAAUCUUGAGGAAAAAGUGGGUUUUACUGUUAGACAAUAAUCACGGGUCUUUCCUAUGAUGUAAACAUGUGAACAGAGGAAGCAGUAUAUUUUGAUGGAAAAAUAAGUGUUUCUGAAAUGAAGAGGCCUAUGGUAUAAACUGAGAACAAGAAUGGAUGGUUUUGUGUUUAUUUUCAUUUUUAAUCUCCAACUUUUCCAGAUAUGUUCUGUACCUGUUUUUUUCUUUAUCAACUUGUAUUACAUGAAAAGAAGAACAGAAGAGAAGCUAUAAUGGAGUCCUUUGUUACAUUAUGGUCAUCUACAAUACGUGGAAGGACUUAUAACAUAUAUCAUAUUUUUUAUUGCUUAUGAUUGGAUAUGUGAACUGUUGAAAUGAAUUUGUUAUGGCUUAAAAUCAAGAAUUGAAACGAAAAAUUAUUGGCCAGACUAGUUUGGUUUCAACUUGAAUUGUCUUUUUGGUACCAUUGAAACGAUAAAUUUUAAAAAUUGAACCUUGAUAAAUAAUCAGUUCUUUUAUUGAUUUUUAGGUACUUCUGUUGUUACUAUUGGUUGCCGAUCUAUUAGUCUAUGUUAUCUAUCUGUCCCCAGUGGCAUUCUAUACUCUUCCGUUUAGGAUUGCACCCUAUAUACGGGUUGUAUUUUUCAUCCUGAACAUCAGGUAUGGUAUGGGUAGUUGGAUACCCUAUUACAGUUUUUCUCCUGCAUUAUGUUCUCAUUUGUGCUUUCUGGAUUUUUCGUCUUUCCCUGGGGUGCUAUGUCCCAUUAGGAUUUAUACAUUGGUUUUGGAAUAACUCUUCCUGAUUACAAAGUUCCAUCUUCUAGCUGGCACGCUCUUGAACAUUGAAAUCCUAUUGUUGUCUUUUGGACUAAGGUUUGGGAUUAUCAUUUGGUGGAAAAGUUUGCCUGUCAAUUCGGGUAGAUGAGUUUUCCAGUUUUGAUGCUGCUUUUCAACUGGUAGAAGCAGUCUUCACAAGGUGAACAUUGGUUUUUAUUGGAAUCAUGUUCAGAUGGAUGCAAGGUUAUGGACUGAAUAAAUUACCAAAUUUACAAUAUAUGAAACUGAUUUCCACCUUUCGACUAUACAUAGGUGAAAACUUAAAACCAUGAUAAGCAUAUCAUUCAUUAGAAUUGAUUGUCAGUUAUGGUGCCCACUUGAGGGCGAUUGCUUGGAGAAAGAAGAGGUUGGAAUUUGUUGAUUUUCAAUUAACCCAACACACAGGAAGAGGAAAUACCAUUCUUCCCAAAAAGGAUACUCUAAGCCAAUCAUAUGCCACGUAGCAUCAUUUAAUUCCUUCGCGUGACUGCUAAUUUCCACUAACUGAAUUGCUUCUUAAUUUUGUAAAUUGACAUUAGGGAUUUACGAGAUAGCAUUGUCAUCCUGGCUGGAAUGUUCGGCACGUACCUUAAUAUUCUGGUGCGUCCACUUAGUAGUUCUGGUACUUAUCUUCAAAAGAAUUUAUUACACAUAUAAUUGAAGUAUUGCCACUAUUAUGAUCUUUCUAUCUCUUCAAUUUCACGAGUGAAAUUUGAUUGUGCUUUUUGCCUUUCUGGGGACCUAAUGCAGGCUCUAUGGGCUUUGUUUCUCUUGUUCUGUAGCUGGUUGGCAUUUGUUAUUUUUGAAGAUACGCAACAGGGAAAGACUAUAUUCACUUCAUAUGGUACCACAUUAUACCAAAUGUUUGUUUUAUUUACGACUUCCAAUAACCCAGAUGUCUGGAUUCCUGCAUACAAGUAAGUAGCUUUGAAACAUUGGUUUUUUAGAUUCAUCCUCUUCUCUCUUUCUAAUAUUGCCUAUUUAUUAUGCUGCAUUCCUUCCCCCUACCUUGCACCGUUAAGGUAGUCAUACAGCACACACAGGAGAAGAUUUGAAUUUACGUCCAAGCAACACUGCUAAACCUUUAGAACUUAUUAACGACUUCUAUAGUUAUCAAUUUCCAUAUUGUUCUACUAUUUGCUUAUAACUGAUUUUCUCUUGUUUUAUUCACCUCCAUGAUAUGUUGGUUCAUAGGGCCUCACGGUGGUAUUGCCUAUUUUUUGUUCUCUACGUGCUGUUGGGCGUUUACUUUGUCACCAAUUUGAUUCUUGCUGUUGUAUAUGAUAGCUUUAAAAGUGAGGUAUUUGAUGCAUCCCUUGCACUAUAUUUUUACGCUAACACUUUUUCUGUAUAACUCAUAUAUUAUCCAAUUGCCCAAUAUGAGAUGAAAUAUAUCACUUGCCAUUGUAGAAGGAAUGGAGCUUCAAACUCCUACUUCAGAUUUGGAGGCAUUAUACUAAAUUGCUGUCUUUCUUUUUUGGCAUUCAUUGUUGUCUUACAAAAAGCACUAUACACCAUUUAGAUGUCAAUUUGUGACUUCUUGUUCUCAUGUUGACAGCUUGAUGUGUAUCUAAUACUAGUUUUUGUUACAGCUCGUAAAACAAGUCGAUCAGAAGGAUCGUACAAGGAUGAGAAUACUAAAG